UUGCGACUCAACGUAUGCGAACACUGUACGAGCCGGCCGUCUAAAGGAUCUGGAGUAUUAUGUUUCUCUGUUCUUCAACUCUGUCAAUCAAAGGUUUAACAACAUCCACGGUACCACAAUAAGAUUCCUCGUUGUCGAAAUUGUGCAAAUGAACAGAAGCACUGAAGAGAGCGUCCUAGUGUUCCAUAACGAAAAGGGAGUGAAAUAUGUGAACGCCACGGCAACCUUACCAGAACUACAGAAGCAUGCGGCGAAACUGCCCAAUUUUACCAAAGUUGAUGCGGUAGUACUGCUAACUUCUUACAAGACGUUCUACAAAGAUCCGAAUGUAACAGAUACUGCAGGACGAAAGUUGGUCACAAUAACCCCAGG